rnacentral:rRNA from 1 species
AACGAACGCUGGCGGCAGGCUUAACACAUGCAAGUCGAGCGCCCCUCAAGGUGAGCGGCAGACGGGUGAGUAACGCGUGGGAAUCUACCCAUCUCUACGGAAUAACGCUGGGAAACGUGUGCUAAUACCGUAUACGUCCUUCGGGGGAAUGAUUUAUCGGAGAUGGAUGAGCCCGCGUUGGAUUAGUUAGUUGGUGGGGUAAGGGCCUACCAAGGCGACGAGCCAUAGCUGGUCUGAGAGGAUGAUCAGCCACGCUGGGACUGAGACACGGCCCAAACUCCUACGGGAGGAAGCAGUGGGGAAUAUUGGACAAUGGGCGCAAGCCUGAUCCAGCCAUGCCGAGUGAGUGAUGAAGGCCCUAGGGUAGUAAAGCUCUUUCACCGGGGAAGAGAAUGACGGUAACCGGAGAAGAAGACCCGGCUAACUUCGUGCCAGCCGCCGCGGUAAAAC